AACGAACGCUGGCGGCGGGCCUAACACAUGCAAGUCGAGCGAGCAUUUCGGUGCUAGCGGCGGACGGGUGAGUAACGCGUGGGAACGUGCCCUUUUCUGCGGAAUAGUCCUGGGAAACUGGGGGUAAUACCGCAUACGCCCUUUUGGGGAAAGAUUUAUCGGAGAAGGAUCGGCCCGCGUUGGAUUAGGUAGUUGGUGGGGUAAUGGCCCACCAAGCCGACGAUCCAUAGCUGGUUUGAGAGGAUGAUCAGCCACACUGGGACUGAGACACGGCCCAGACUCCUACGGGAGGCAGCAGUGGGGAAUCUUAGACAAUGGGGGCAACCCUGAUCUAGCCAUGCCGCGUGAGUGAUGAAGGCCUUAGGGUUGUAAAGCUCUUUCAGCUGGGAAGAUAAUGACGGUACCAGCAGAAGAAGCCCCGGCUAACUCCGUG
rnacentral:rRNA from 1 species